GCAUGCAGUAUAAAAGGGGUACAAAGUGUCUUGAGUACUUAUGUAUACAUACAUACUUCAUGCAUAAGUAAAAUCGUUGAUCGUAUAAAUAUAUUACAAAGUAUAUAGCACAUUUAGAAGAAUGUAACACGCAAAUAAACUUUCACACUCGUGACGAAAAAAAUGUGAUAAGAAAAAUUCAGUAGAUUCUUAUAUUUAUAAUUUUAUUUUUGUGUAAUCAUUAGAGGAGUUGAAAGGUUCUAAAAAUUUUUUGGAAAAUGAUAAUAUCUUUUGUGCAAAUGAUGAGUUAUAUAGUUACAGUUACCAUUGCAAAUAUCAUAUUCAUAUUUUUAGAAUCGCUAUUGAAAUAUUUAUAUUUACUUUAAAUUUAGUUUUUUAUUUGCUUUACUUGAAUUAGCAUGCACGAAAAGUAGCAUGCAAGCUUGGAACACGUGAUGGCAAAAAUAAAUAGAUGAAAGAAUAAUUAUUUCAUUUUCAAGCAGUUAAGUAUCCUUUGCACAUUAAUGUAUAUUUACUGCAUGUUCAAUGAUGCAAGUAUAAGGAGGUGAAGAGAAGGUGAAGAAGAAGAGGAAGAUCGAGAAGAUGAAGAAUGAGAAGAGAAGAUUGUCUUUCUGGUGGAAAGUAAAGGAGGGUAUGACGCACACGUACGUCGGCAGAUAUACGAUCGGGACCUGUGAGAGCAGGGAGAGGAUCAGAGGUGGCGGCGGCUGCAGAGGCUAAUCACAGACGGUCGAGCUCCCCGCCAAUUAAUACCACCGCCGGCAACACCUCUACUCAGCCAAGAGAGCCACAGCUUCUCGCUUGUUGUCUCUCAUUCUUCGAUGAAUACCGCUGAUUCGAAUGUAUCUUUUUUCCGCUCCCUCAUCUCGAUCUUCUUCAUCUCCGUCUUCCUCUUCAUCUUCACUUACGUCCACUCCAGAAUUACAUGAAGACGGCAAAUUCUUCGUUUUGCGGAUAUGUAAAAUUCUGGUACUCACGUGCAUCAACAAUAUGGGAUUAAAAAGGUAACAAGGGAAAAUAAAAUGGUUAAAGGAUCUGCUUAUUUUAGCACAAGCCAAUCAAGUGUGCUAUCAGUUCUGAAGAGGAAUUUACACUACUCCUCGGCAAGUAAUAAAUAAUUAAAUAGGAUACGUAUUUAUUUCUCGAGUUAAAAAUAGAACUAUAAAGUAUUGUAAGAAACAAAUUUCUCAAUCCGUUAGAUUAUGGGCGGUGUUUUUCGAAGGAACAUAUACGGCUCGUGGCAAUAAUAUGAUUCCGUGCAACCGCGGCGUGAAGAAUCGCUGGAAUCGGUCUUGGCAAUAGCAAUCGAUAGGAUCAGCCGGUUCGAUCGGUCUUAGAAUCAGAUUCUUGGGGCGAUAUUACCCGCGGAGGUAAAGGAGAAAAAAGCGAUGGGACAAGUGAGGCCGAUGAUGAAGAGAAGCUAAGGAGAGAGAAGGAAAGAGGAAACUCUUGUUGGCGAGAAGGUGUUUUUCGGGGCGUGGCAAGCUCGCAUGAUUACCACGAGGAUCGGUCAGCGCGGUGAGAGUUCAAAGCAUCAAAGAAAGCCCGACCAACGAGAAAUUGCUCGGAAUUCAUCUGCCAGCAUAAAACAGACGAAAGGGGUUGUCUUGUUAGAUCGGCAACGAGGCCUCGAGCCAGUAUAUAUCCGACACUAAUAUCCCGCGAACCUUUUCCACUCACUCGAUUUCACUAUAUCUCCAACAAGCAUAUGCUUUACUCUCUUACUCUUCACCGAUCAUCACUCUGCGAUCAUCACAGUUCGUUUAUGGGAUCAUCGCGGCAGGUGAACGCGUGAUCCAUUCAAUAAAUUGCGCACAGCAGCCACACCAACUCGAAAAUUUCAGUUUCCGAUCGUUAUGGGUCAUUGAGCGAUAAAACACUUCAGUAAAUGACUUUCAAUAUAUUAUUAUUUUAUAACAAAAUACAUCUUCCCAUCAUAGGUUCCAUUUUGAAAUUGUUUAUUGCUCGCACCAUCAACAAUGAAAAAUAAUCUUUCUUUAUUAUCAGAGCUUUAAUGAAAAAUAAAUUGUCAUGAAAAAGAUAUUCAAGUUGGUUCAAAAAAUUUGUAUGAAUACAUAUAUUCUGAUAUAAAUUCAUGAAUAUGCAGUACUACUACAUGAAUAUAUACGAGUUUUGUGUCUGACUAAAAACAAAUUCGCUUUUUUCAUUUACUCUGCCGCGUUAUAUAUUCUCCCAUUUGUUA
rnacentral:lncRNA from 1 species